rnacentral:misc_RNA from 1 species
GAUGAAGAACGCAGCGAAAUGCGAUACGUAAUGUGAAUUGCAGAAUUCAGUGAAUCAUCGAGUCUUUGAACGCACAUUGCGCCCGCCAGUAUUCUGGCGGGCAUGCCUGUUCGAGCGUCAUUUCAACCCUCAAGACCCCUUCGGGGGACUUGGUGUUGGGGACCGGCAUAGGGGCCUUGCGCCCCUCGCCGCCCCCGAAAUGAAUUGGCGGCCUCGUCGCGGCCUCCCCUGCGUAGUAGCACAACCUCGCAACGGGAACGUGACGGCGGCCACUGCCGUAAAACAACCCAAUUUUAUUAGAGUUGACCUCGAAUCAGGUAGGAAUACCCGCUGAACUUAAGCAUAUCAAUAAGCGGAGGA